UACGUAGGGGGCAAGCGUUGUCCGGAAUCAUUGGGCGUAAAGCGCGUGUAGGCGGUUCGGUAAGUCCGCUGUGAAAGUCGGGGGCUCAACCCUCGAAAGCCGGUGGAUACUGUCGGGCUAGAGUACGGAAGAGGCGAGUGGAAUUCCUGGUGUAGCGGUGAAAUGCGCAGAUAUCAGGAGGAACACCAAUUGCGAAGGCAGCUCGCUGGGACGUUACUGACACUAAGGCGCGAAAGCGUGGGGAGCGAACAGG
rnacentral:rRNA from 1 species